GGUAGCAAGAGAGAUGAAGUUGUUCAGGUUUUUAUUGUUAUUUUGGAUCCUAAUCAUUGUUCUUCUCUUCAAUCCCCCGUCGGAUGAUCGCUUUGGCCGCAGGCUGCUGAUCAUUGGGUGCAGCGCAGGUCGAGCAGACCCUGGUUCUUCUUUGCGAGCAGCUGGUCCACCUCCGCCACAGCGGGAUGCUGGAAAAAUUCCUCAUCGAUGAUUUAAGGAAUAUGCUUUCUUGUAAAUCGUCUGGGAUUAAGCACAACUCUGAUGGAAAGUAAAACGCAUCUUAGGUUACUGCAUAAUGCUAUUAUUAUUUUUGUUUUACUGAUCACUAAAUAAUGUUAUGGAUACAAAUUCUCAUUUGCCACGUUAUUCAUUUGAUGUUCUGAACUGAUACACAAGGUACGGAAUAGUUAACUUUGGAUGUUUACAUGUUUA